rnacentral:rRNA from 1 species
UAAGAAUAUUCCGCAAUGGACGAAAGUCUGACGGAGCGACGCCGCGUGGAUGAGGAAGGCCGAAAGGUUGUAAAGUCCUUUUGCCGAUGAAGAAUAAGCGUGGGAGGGAAUGCCUGCGUGAUGACGUUAGUCGGUGAAUAAGCCCCGGCUAAUUACGUGCCAGCAGCCGCGGUAACACGUAAGGGGCAAGCGUUGUUCGGAUUUAUUGGGCGUAAAGCGUGUGUAGGUGGUUUAUUAAGUAUAAAAUUAAAGCCCGAGGCUUAACCUCGGUUCGUUUUAUAAACUGGUAGACUUGAGUAUGGUAGAGGCAAAUGGAAUUUCUAGUGUAGCGGUAGAAUGCGUAGAUAUUAGAAGGAACACCAGUGGCGAAAGCGAUUUGCUGGGCCAUUACUGACACUGAGACACGAAAGCGUGGGGAGCAAAUA